AGCCCUAUAGUGUAAUGAACAUAAAAAACUGUAAACUUUGAGACGCAAUUUGCUAGGACUGA
rnacentral:tRNA from 1 species